rnacentral:tRNA from 1 species
GGCGCUUUGGCGGAGUGGUUAACGCGGCAGACUCGAAUAUUAUUGUGUCCGGUCAUCUGCUCUCCUCGGAGGCGCAGGUUCGAAUCCUGCAGGCGUCG